rnacentral:rRNA from 1 species
GCCUAGCCGUAAAACAUAUACUCACCCCAACAAAUCGCCAGGGAAUUACGAGCCCAAGCUUAAAACCCAAAGGACUUGACGGUGUCCCACCCACCUAGAGGAGCCUGUUCUAUAAUCGAUUCCCCCCGAUAAACCUCACCACUUCUAGCCAACUCAGCCUGUAUACCUCCGUCGUAAGCUUACCAUGUGAACGAAACCAGUGAGCCCAAAGAUCCCACAUCAAUACGUCAGGUCAAGGUGCAGCUUACGAACUGGAAAGAAAUGGGCUACAAUUUCUACAAUAGAACAAACGAAAGACUACAUGAAACAUAGUCACUGAAGGCGGAUUUAGCAGUAAAAAGGAAAUAGAGAGUUCUUUUUAACAAGGCGCUGGGACGCGUACACACCGCCCGUCACCCUCUUCAAAUGCCAAACUUAUGUAAAUAACCACAUACAGCACCUUAGAAGAGGUAAGUCGUAACACGGUAAGCGUACUGGAAAGUGCGCUUGGAUUAA